CGACAAUGGCGCAGGACGCCCGCCGGUCACCGGGCCGAGUCCGUGCGGUCGGCCCAUACGCUCCAAAAGGUCCAGUGCAAUGGGGGCGGAACGGAUGAUCGUCUCGGCGAGGGUCUCGCCGCUUUGGUCCUCCAAAUACCUCAUCAUGCCGUCGACCACUGGGACCAAGUUGUCCAAGAGCGGAGCGGGUCGGGUCGAGCCGUCGAGCGCGCUCGACGACGCAACCUGGGCGAUACUUGCGAGUGCCACCGCUACAUGGGCACCCACAGGCGCAUUUUGCUGCGCAGACGCACCGAGAGCCGUAAAGGCGUCGAUGAGGACUUGUACGGUCGGGUCGAGUUUGCCCGUCGCGGUCGCAGCGUCGUCGCGGUGAGGCGUGGUCAUGGUGCUUUGGCGGGAGAUCUUUGUUGGCAAGACGACAACAAUGAAAGAGACUGCGGUUGGGCUUGCUCUUUUCUUUUCGGUUUCUGUGCUGGCCGCGGGGACCGUUGGUGUUGGGUGUAUGAAAUAAAAAAACCCUUCUUUUUUU
rnacentral:lncRNA from 1 species